AAGUACUUAUUACUUUUAAAAAUUAAUGUUUCAACAUCCAAUUAAGCUUUUGGGAUUUAAAUUGGAUUCGUGACCGUGUUUUAAUCAGCAAGUUACCACAGGAGUGUUAGCCCUUCGUACAGACUGGCAUCAUAUAACACACAACUGGGACAAACAGACAUCACAUCUUCUUUAAAUAUCAUCUAUCGGAUCAUUAGAGUUUAAAUCAGCAUAUGGAUGUCUGCCACUCCUUCUGACCUUGAGAAAAUGGGUAACCUGCCUGUGACUCCUAGCUUGAUCUGUCUUGAUACUUUAUUGGAAUAAAUCCAGAAAAGAGGAUCAAAGCUGCAUGGAGAAAAGAGGUGUCUAAAAUAACUGGAAAAACUGCAGAAGAAUACCCAAGAUGAUGAAGAAGAACAUCAGUCCAGAAGUAUCUCAUCCUUAACUCAACCUUAUGCUGUCUCAAACCAGUAGGACUUUCUCUUAGAGGACAAAUUAAGAUAUUGUCAUAGAGAAAUGUUUGCCCAUACAAUGGAAGACAAAUGGACACCAAACAUUUGAGCUCCAAAAGGAACAUGAAGGUACGAUUAAUUAAAGACACUAGUCAUUUCAUGUGAU